CUCUCACCCUUUUGAUAAUUUUUUUUUUCCCCACAUGCAUUGAAUUAUGGUGACUUAUUUCAUGUUUGGCAAUGACUUGAGUAUAUUUAUGAAUAAACACUGCCUUUAUAUGCAAUAACAAUUUAACUCUUAGCAUGACCCAUCUCCUCCGAGGAAAUGAGAUGUCUCCUAGGCAGCAGAGCCUGGAUAAAACAAGAGUCUUAUGGUUUUGCCGUUGGGCGUAAGGCGAUAGCCAGAGGGACAAGUACACUGAUAACUCCCUGGGGUGUUUCUACAUUCGUGCUGGCAGGUGUCUCUGGUUUCACAUUCAUCUAUGUCUGCGGAAAGAAACACGAACGCGUACUCAUCAGGAUUAUCUGAACCUGGCAUUGAACCGAGCCUCAGGGCUGGUGAUCACUGCCAACGACAAGGACAGCGGUGGCCGCUCUCCAGCCCGGCUCUGCUGGGGACUUGAUGGAGGGAGGCCGGGCAACAGCACCUCUAGACCAGCAGUUACAGGAGGCCCACACCCACAGGCACUAACUACCGCUGCAGGAGAAAAAACGGACACUUCUAGCUCUUGAGCAAUAGUUUGUUGGGGUAUGUGUGUUUUUAAACUUCUUAAUUUCUUCCCCUUUAGCACAAAUCAGUCACUGACCAGUACAGGCUGCUGUUCCUUUCGACUUUCAUGAGGAGCUAAAUUAAAUUUUCAAAACCUGCGCAAAUAGCAGCAUUUCACUGAAAAACCUCAGGAAAGCUCAUGGAGGAAGGAGGAA